AUCUGGGCGGCGGAAUUCAGCAUGAUGGCAGGACGCGUGCUCGCGCGCUUGUUCGGCCAUUUGAUAUUUCCGUCGCCGUCGCAGACGUCGCGACCUGUUUGUCGUCGGUCCUUGCUCGGAGGAAUCGCGAUCGAGUUCGUUGCGGGGCGUGUUUCGGCGCGUCUCGCGACGAAGACGCGGCUCUCUGGCUGACGCGCGGACAGUAAGCAACGGUGGCCGGCGCGGUGUCUCGCAUUCCGCGUCCGGUGCCGGUCAGCGACGAUUUCUUCGGGCCUCUUUCCGACCCGUCUUGAAACACGGACCAAGGAGUCUAACAUGCGCGCGAGUCGCGGGGUUUCGAGCGUGCCACGGUACGCUCGUUACUUCCGAAACCCGUACGUUGAAGGCGUAAUGAAAGUGAACAGGGAAGAUGGCGUUCCGAGUCCACGAACCGUGAUCGAGUAUCGCGGCCGGACGCCCGCACUCCCGGGGCGUCUCGAUGGCUCGUCGCGGAUGCGGACGGUCGUUCUUCGCGGGGCGGCGGUCGGUCUGCGACGGACCGA
rnacentral:rRNA from 1 species